rnacentral:rRNA from 1 species
AGUGAACGCUGGCGGUAGGCCUAACACAUGCAAGUCGAACGGCAGCACAGUAAGAGCUUGCUCUUACGGGUGGCGAGUGGCGGACGGGUGAGGAAUACAUCGGAAUCUACUUUUUCGUGGGGGAUAACGUAGGGAAACUUACGCUAAUACCGCAUACGACCUACGGGUGAAAGCAGGGGAUCUUCGUACCUUGCGCGAUUGAAUGAGCCGAUGUCGGAUUAGCUAGUUGGCGGGGUAAAGGCCCACCAAGGCGACGAUCCGUAGCUGGUCUGAGAGGAUGAUCAGCCACACUGGAACUGAGACACGGCCCAGACUCCUACGGGAGGCAGCAGUGGGGAAUAUUGGACAAUGGGCGCAAGCCUGAUCCAGCCAUACCGCGUGGGUGAAGAAGGCCUUCGGGUUGUAAAGCCCUUUUGUUGGGAAAGAAAAGCAGCAGGUUAAUACCCCGCUGUUCUGACGGUACCCAAAGAAUAAGCACCGGCUAACUUCGUG